rnacentral:rRNA from 15 species
CUACAUAAAAUGACUCUCGGCAACGGAUAUCUCGGCUCUCGCAUCGAUGAAGAACGUAGCGAAAUGCGAUACUUGGUGUGAAUUGCAGAAUCCCGUGAACCAUCGAGUCUUUGAACGCAAGUUGCGCCCGAAACCAUUAGGUUGAGGGCACGUCUGCCUGGGUGUCA